rnacentral:tRNA from 1 species
GAGGGUAUAGCUCAGUGGUAGAGUGAAUGCCUAACAUGCUUGAGGUCCUGGGUUUAAUCCCCAGUAUCUCCA